AUUGAACGCUGGCGGCAUGCUUUACACAUGCAAGUCGAACGGUAACAGGCCUUCGGGCGCUGACGAGUGGCGAACGGGUGAGUAACGCAUCGGAACGUGCCCAGUCGUGGGGGAUAACGCAGCGAAAGCUGUGCUAAUACCGCAUACGAUCUGCGGAUGAAAGCGGGGGACCUUAGGGCCUCGCGCGAUUGGAGCGGCCGAUGUCAGAUUAGGUAGUUGGUGGGGGUAAAGGCCCACCAAGCCAACGAUCUGUAGCUGGUCUGAGAGGACGACCAGCCACACUGGGACUGAGACACGGCCCAGACUCCUACGGGAGGCAGCAGUGGGGAAUUUUGGACAAUGGGCGCAAGCCUGAUCCAGCAAAUGCCGCGUGCAGGAAGAAGGCCUUCGGGUGUAAACUGCUUUGUACGGAACGAAAAAGUCCGGGUUAAUAACCUGGGCCCAUGACGGUACCGUAAGAAUAAGCACCGGCUAACUAACGUG
rnacentral:rRNA from 1 species